GCAGGGCUGCUGGGCUCACCGGGCGGGCUUUGCGCCUCCCCGCGCUUCCUGCCACGCCGGGCCUGGCCGCGCUCCCCGCCGAGGACGCCGAGUGCCGCCGGCCAGCAUCCCGCAGAGCCGUGGCUCUCGCACCCCGCCGCCCUACUGUGCCGCACCCGCCCUGCUUCGCACCGCGGAGGACCAGGCGCUCCCGCACCGCGCCCCCGAGGGCCACGCGGCCGCCGGCCAAGACACCAUGCAAGAGAUGACGCCAAGACUUAAAGGCAAGGACCAAGAGACAGGGCUGCUGCCACUCCCAGCCUUCUGACUAGUUCUGUUUGCCCUCCACCGCUGUGGAGCCCCAGAAGCCUGGUCCCAGCAGGCACUCAUGAGGUUGAGGAGGCCUGGGGCUCGGUGACAUUUGAUAGCAGGACUCAGUACCUCAUGGAAAGGGGAGCAGAGGAGGCUGGACCUGUCUGAGCUGAGGAUUCCACAUUCUGUAAAGACAUCACCUCCAGAGGAGUUCUUGUCCCAGUGCCUGACCUGGUACAACUAGACUGCUGUUGGCCUGUCCCCACCCAGGAUCCAGUCCGGGACUCUGGACAAGUCACCAUGGCAGCAGCCAGGAUCAGACUUCCAGGGUGGAGGACUCAGAAGACCCCUGUGCCAGGAGCUGAAUGGGAAAAGUCAGAUGGGAGCAGCCAUUUGGAACAAGCCCAGAUUUUAAGGUCUGCACAUCACCAAACCAGCAACAGAGGGGCUUGGGGCCUCAGCAAGAUGGCCAAAGCCAAAGGCCAAGUGUUGCCUCGAGCUCUGGCACACAGGACACCUUCUGAGGUGCUGCUCAAAGCACAAGUGGGCCCUGUGGUGCAGGCCCUGCAGGCUCCUGUGGUUCUGCCACCACCUCUGCGCUUAACUGGGUGCGCCACCACCUGGCCUCACUGCCACUGCCUCUGCAGACCUUGAGCGUGAUGUUCCAUAAUCUCUCCUCUCUCUCAUGAAAGUGAGUGAAUAUAUUUAUUUUAAAAGUGUAUAGGGCUGGAGAGAUAGCACAGUGGCUAUGCAAAAAAAAAAAAAAAAGACUUUCAUGCCUCAGACACCAAAGAUUCUGGGUUUAAUCCUCAGCAUCACCAUAACUAAGAGCAGCACAGUGGUGUGGUAAACAAAGAAAAUUUGGCCAAGGAAAUGGCAUGAUGGAUAAAGUGUUGAACUGUCAAGCAUAAAAUCCCAAGUUCAAUCCCUGGCAUCACAGUGGUGAUCAGUCUGGUUCUCUCUCUCUCUCUCUCUCUCUCUCUCCCUACUUUCAUCAUAAAUAAAUAAAUAUUUUUUAUAAAAUGUA